CGGGUUCCGGAAAGCGGGUGGCGCAGGCGGGGAGCGCGUCAGGGAGCGGCCCUGGCUGCGGGGUCGCGGCCUUGGAGAGAUGAUGCGGGGCGCAGGACGAUUCACGAUCCCAGGUGGACUUGCGCGCUCGAAACCAGCGAUCACAGGGCCCAAAUGGAAACCAGAGAGCUCCGAAUAGGCCACAGCGGUCAGUUACCCAGGACUGCAGAGACACCCUUCACUCCUGCAUGCGUUUGAUCUGACUCCACCAGAAGGUCCAGUCGCCAACGCCUAGCUGAGGUCCCAGGCCAGGCCUUACCCCCAACCCCUACCCUCUCAGCCUCCAAUUGAAAGAAGGCCUGCCGGCUCCAACUCAAUUAGCACAAAGGCGGCGGCGGGCACCCUGGUCUGUGCCGCAGGGCAGGGAGCGUCCUGGCGGGCAGGUAGAGAGAAGUCCGCUAGCCCCGGGUGUUAUCAGCAAGCGGCUUAAUCAGGAAUUUGAGCUGACAACGUGCGCACCGCCACCCGGCUCCGCCAGCCGGUUGACGGUGGGAGUGAGACCCGAGAGGCUGGAGUCCCAGACUUCAAAGCUGCCCGAGGUGCGGCGGCCUUGGGGAAGGGGGCGCCCGGCGACAAUCGGCAACCCCGAGCGCCGCCUGGACAGAAGCCGGCGGGCCAGUGGGCGCUGGACCAUCUUCCCUGCGAAACAUCACACAAAGAAGAAAACGACAAGGCAGACCAACAGAUGAACAGGAUCCAGAGUGACCAGAACCAGACCAGAUGUCCCAUGAUGACAUCACAGGAGGGACCGACAUUGUGGGAAUGGUGCUUGAAGAUGAUGGUGACACUUUCUGGGAAGACCUUCCCGGAUCUCCAGAGGUACGGAACCGAGGUCCAAAUUUGCAUGGUGAGUCCCAACCUCCACCACUGGUCUUUGUGCCCUCCUGGUAGAGCUGUGCCCUGCCCGUGUGGUUAUAAUGGGGCCAUCACAUGUGUGUAGAGGAUGAAGACAGCCACAGUGACAUGCCGGACAUUUAUUAUGCAUCAGUAGUCUCCAUCCACUGUGCCCACAGCACCCACUUGAGAGUCACUCCUAGCUGACAUGGUACCUCAACUGGAAUCCUCUAUCCAAGGAUCUUGUGGACCACAUGAGGCUAAUUAGAAUAUGCUCUUCUCUGCGGCUGCUGGUCAGGGAUGAGCGCUCUCCCAUGUCUGCUUCUGUUAGCCGUGAAUGAGUCUGCCUUCUUUUUAAGGAAUGAAUAUAUAUUCUUUGAUGGUUCCAUACAUGUACACAUGUACUGUCUGUUGAUUAUAUUUUACGCCACACCCCUUACUCCCCCAUGUCUUCCCAAAAUCUCUUCUCUCUCCUCUCUUCUCCCUCCCCUCCAUCCUCUUCCUUCUCCUCCUCCUCUUCUUUAAAACCACACCCAGUCCAGUGAGUGUUGCCUGAACACACAUGGGCAUUGAGCCAUCCCAGGGACUUGGGCAACCUACCAGCAGUCAUCCAUACCUUUGGAGAAGCUCGGCCGUCCUUCCUUGGAAGCAUCCAUUGUAAGUAGAUCUUCACCCAGGGAUGGGAUUUUAUGAGCCUCUCCCGUCCAUGCUGGAUAUUGACUGACUCCAUCGUGUGUGAAUCACCACAGCUGCUGUGAGUUCGUGAAUCCGAUGCUCACACAUCGUGGCCAGAGGACAGCAUUUCACUCCCCUCUCCCAGCCUCUAGCUUUGAUGUUCUUUCUGCUUCCUCUCCCAUAAUGUCCCCUGAGCUUCACAGGGGAUAGGUGGAUAUAGGUGUCCCAUCAGGGGUGAACACUCACGGUCACUUACUGUUAGCACUUUGAUCAAGCCGUGAGUCCCAGCACUAACCACUACACUGGAAGAAACAGCUUCCUGAGCAAUGCUAAUUUAUGGAUAUAAAUAGAAAUAUUGAGAAGGCAAUUUGACAGCGUGUCCAUUUAACCGGUAGUUUCUCCCCUAGGGCCUAUGACCUCCGGACCCACAGCUUUUGACUAGGUGCAUGGCACUAGAUUUGUGUUCCCUCCUCUGAAGCAGACCUCAGAUCCCGUCAGAAAACGGGUGGCUCCCACAACCACCAUGCCUCUAUGGCACUGGUAGCAGGGCUUGCUUUGGCUUUGUUCCUUAACUUCCAGCUACCUUGAGAUCUUCUAGGCAGCUCCCCUGCAGCCAGAGGACCAGCUAUUCAGCUGCGUGUGACAGAUGACAAUGUUCCUUCCCCUACCCGCCUGCCCACCCAGAGCUCUGACCUGGUGUCAGCCUCUUGUGCUGAAUGGAGGCAUCUACAGCUGCUGGAAAUUAGAGCGCUCCGUUCCGUGGUAUUACGCGGCGGCACUCCACGGGCCUGGGAGUGCAGAGCUGAUUGGAUGUCCCACCCAAAGGAGAGACGGUUCAAGCUCUUUCCAGGAAAUUGAGUGGAACACCCAAACUGACAUCCAAUAUUAAAUAUUGUAUUUGUGGACUUGU
rnacentral:lncRNA from 1 species